rnacentral:rRNA from 1 species
UAGCGUAGGGGGCAAGCGUUGUCCGGAAUCAUUGGGCGUAAAGCGCGUGUAGGCGGCCCGAUAAGUCCGCUGUGAAAGUCCAGGGCUCGAACCCUGGAAUGCCGGUGGAUACUGUCGGGCUCGAAUCCGGAAGAGGGUGAAGUGGAAUUCCUGGUGUAGCGGUGAAAUGCGCAGAUAUCAGGAGGAACACCAUGGCGAAGCGCUCACUGGGACGGUAUUGCGCUGGAGAACGCGAAAGCGUGGGGAGCAAACAGG